GGUUCGUUGGUGUAAUGGUCAAACACCUCUUAACUUGUCCGCUUGUCGCGUUGAGAUGCGGCCGGCUCGCAGUAUAGAAGCUGCCGGUUCAAAUCCGGUACGGGCCA